UUGUAUUACUGCAAUCAAAAUUUAGAAAAAGAAUGAUCUUAUAUACAUUACUCAAUAGAAUCUAACAGAAAAGAACUUGUAUCAGCAUCAAGCAACAGGCCCAAUUGCAAGCAGCAAUGAGCAGCAUCUCAGUAAUUGGGGACAAUAUUUUGUACCUUCAGAGCAGGAGCAUGAAGAAGACGAUGAAGCAAACAAUGAGGUUGAUGCAAGUCAUAGUGAUGCUGAAUCUGAUGUUGAGCGUGAAGAUGGUGAUAAAGGAAACAAUGAAGAUGAAGCAAAUCGCAUUGAUAGUGAAUCUGAUGGUGAGCAUGAAUUUGACUGCAACAGUGAUGAGAAUGCAAGUUAUCCAGAUGAAGCUUACACAGAAUGCAAUAGUGAUCAAAAUGAAACAGAUGUGGAGGAAGAUUACCUGGAACAAAAUACUUUAUCCUGUGAUGAGUUGUUGGUGGAACGCCAGCAUUCAGAGCUGCAAAAUUUGGAGCAAAGUUGGAACUAUCAGGAUUCAGUCUAUCAGCAGCAAAUGAUGAGAGCCGAUCAAGAAGUAAAAGCAAGGAGCUCUGAAGAAGCAUUGCAAGGCCCUGAUUAUGCAGAAACAACUGAUACAGAUGGCACUAGUGGCAGCGAUGAUUCAGAGUUUGAAGCAGAGCAGCUACAAGAGGUCCAACAACAAACAAAAAACUAUGAAAAGGAUAACAGUGCUACAUUUUUAGAAUCAAAUGAAGAGGAUCAGAAUGAAACUUUUAGUCCAUCAGGCAAGGAAAAAAUGCAGGACCUAGUAAGGAGCAGAUGAAAGAUGAAAACAAGUUAUCUCAAGAAGAUAUAGAAUUCUUCCUUGAGAAUGACAGUAUUAAAAGGGCAAUUAAAUUAAGCCAAGAAGAUGAGAAGAAACACAUGCCAGCCCUUGGCAUGACAUUUGAAAGUGAUGCUCAUGCACACAGAUUCUACAAUGAAUAUUCAGCUAUUGCUGGGUUCUCAAUUCAGAAAGCUGCAAACUAUCACUGCUAGAAGAAAGAUGCACACAACAACAAAAUGACGAGGUUCACUAUGAAGUGUAACAGAUCUGGUAAACCUAGGAUAAGGACAAAACCAACAGCUGCAGGAGCAAAAAGGAGAAAGUAUAAGAGUGAUAAAAAUGCACCAACUGAGCUAGAGAAUACGACAGACAGAAGAAGAAACUACACAACUAAAACAGGUUGUCAAGCUCAGAUGGUUGUUACCUGGAAAUUCGAUACAACACAGUGGGUGGUGACAAGGAUUAUCAUUGAACACAAUCAUGACCUGCAUCCACCAGGGGAAGUCAGGUUCCUCAGGUCACACAAAUAUAUCACUGAUCAAGAGAAGGACUUGAUCAGAACUUGCAAACAAGUGAACGUACCAACUAGAAAGAUUAUGGCAAUAAUGGCGUUCUUUCGAGGAAGAGGUCUUUCUUCGCUGCCAUAUACAGCAAAACAGAUUAGCAACAUGGGCACGAAAAUGAGAAGAGAUAACGGAUUGAAUGACAUGAUGCAAGUGGUCUCAUUUUUUGAACAGAAAAAAUGAGAAGAUCCUCUGUUCUUCUACUCAUUCAAAACAGAUCCAGCUAAGAAUGUCAUGCAUAUAUUUUGGGCAGACGGCACUGGUAUAAGGAACUAUCAACAAUAUGGUGAUCUCCUAAGUUUUGACACAACUUACAAAACAAACAAGUAUAACCUGAAGUUUGCUCCAUUUGUGGGUGUAAAUGGACACGGAGACAACUGCCUCUUUGCAUGUGGUUUCAUACAAGAUGAGAAGAAAGAAAUUUUUGAGUGGUUGUACAAAACUUUUCUGAAGUGCAUGGGAGGAAAAGCUCCAAAAUCUGUGAUAACAGAUCAAGAUGCAGCUAUGAAAAAGGCAGUUCCUAAGUGUUUUUCUAGUUGCAUGCACAGGAACUGUUUGUUUCACAUUCUAACAAAAGCGCAGAACAAAGCUAGGAGAACAUUUGCAAGGAACGAGCAUUUGAAUGCUCAGUUUCAUGACAUAAUCCUAAACUCACAAACAGUUGAGGAGUUCGAGCACCUCGGGCCCCAGAUGAUACAACAACACAAUGUUCAACAUAUCAAGCACUUCGGGAUUAUGUGGAAAAAUAGAAAGAGAUUUGUACCUGCAUAUUUCAAGAAUGACUUUUUCCCAUUCAUCCAGUCAACGGCAAGAACUGAAGGUACAAAUGUUGUAUUCAAGGCAAAUGUAGGGUCAAGUCAUAGUGUGAUUGCUUUCAUGACAGAGUUUGACAGAAUAUCGCAGAGCAUUGAAGAAAAAAAAAGAAAAUGAUUCAAUAACAAGGAGAACCUCUCCAACAAUGUGGAGUGACUGGGCAUUGGAAAAGCAAGCAGCAAAACUAUACAACAGGGGCAUAUUCUACAAAUUUCAGCAAGAGUUGAUGAAUUCAACAAAGUUUCAUAUGAUGGAAAUGGAAAAAAAGUAUGAGGUGUACAAGUCACCGACUCAAGCACUGUUUGACUAUAACCCAAGAACAUUCAUAGUGGUUGUUGACACACAUUCUGAAACUAUCUCAUGUGUAUGUGGGAAAUUUGAGAAGGAUGGUAUUCUGUGUUGUCAUGCACUCAAAGUCAUACAAGCAUUGAACAUUGAUGAGUUACCAGAAAAGUACUUCAUUGAUAGAUGGAGACCUAAGGAAAAAAGAGCAUUUCAAGCUAAUGAAGAAGAUGCAAACCUUGAAGAUUUGGAUGAGCAAAUGGCAUUCUUCUCAUUUUCAAGAAGACUAGUUCAGCUUGCUUCUGAGGCAUCGAAGAAUCCUGCAAGGAGGAAAGUGUUAAACAAGCAGAUAGGGAAUCUGGAGAGGUUAAUUUUAGACAUACCUUGCAUGCCAGAAUUGGAACAAUCAAAAUGUUCUGCUUCAGAUUUAAGUGCUGUCACAGGGGGCUCUUGACUUCAGACAGCAAGGGUGAGAACACUAUAAAUGAUCCAAUAUACAGCAAACCGAAAGGGAGAAUGAAGAAAACAGGGAGGCAGAAAAGUAUACUAGAAGAAAUCAUAUCAAGGCCUAAAGUGACUUGUUCGGGGUGCAACAAACAAGGACACAACAUUACAGGGUGCAAGCAAAUACAACAAGAAUCGCCAGCAAAACCUAAAAAAUCAGCCAGCAGAAAGAAUGCAAAGCAACAUAGAGAGAAGACAGCAAAACAAAAAUAGAUGAAAAAGGCAAGGUCUACUACAUAUUCAUGCAAUGAGGAAAGAAAGAAGAAAAGCGAUGCUCAUAGCGUGAAGAAACAUGAUUGCAAAGCAAAAAGUGAAAGAAUUGUGAAAAGAAGGUCAACAACAGAAGCAAUUGUUAUUGUGUGAAAAAUUUGCAUCCAUUUUGUAUGAAAUGAUGGAUAUGUAAUUUAAGUACUUUCAACUGAUUUCUACUAUUUUUACUUGUUUACUGAAUUAUUGCUUACUGAAUUCUGGAAUGCAAAAGGAAUAAUUAUAAUGGUAUGAGAUGACAUAUGAAAUCAGAAUGAAGAAAACAAAAAAGGUGAUAUCAAUUCAGGAGUGCAAAAAGAAAAGAGCAAAAAAACCUACAACAUAGAUUUAUGAAUUCAGAAAUGCAGAAAACAAAAAGUUGAUAUCGAUAAACAACAAUAACGUAGACUAGUAUUUAAUAAUAUUGACAAUAGAGUACUGACAUCACAAAGGAAACUUUGAAAAACGAUGAUAGCAC